rnacentral:rRNA from 1 species
GCGGCAUGCCUAAUACAUGCAAGUCGGACGAGGGUAGCAAUACCCUAGUGGCGAACGGGUGAGUAACACGUGGGAAAUCUGCCUUUAAGUCGAGGAUAACUGCUGGAAACGGCAGCUAAAACUGGAUAGGUUAUAUUGGGGCAUCCUGAUAUAAUUAAAAGUCCUUUACGGGAAUGCUUAAAGAUGAUCCUGCGUCGCAUUAGCUAGUUGGUGAGGUAGCGGCUCACCAAGGCGACGAUGCGUAGCUGUGCUGAGAGGCAAAACAGCCACACUGGGACUGAGACACGGCCCAGACUCCUACGGGAGGCAGCAGUAGGGAAUUUUCGGCAAUGGGGGCAACCCUGACCGAGCAAUGCCGCGUGAACGAAGAAGGUCUUCGGAUCGUAAAGUUCUGUUAUCAGGAAAGAAUAGCAUAGCGAGGAAAUGCGCUAUGUGUGACGGUACCUGAUGAGGAAGCCCCGGCUAACUAUGUGCCAGCAGCCGCGGUAACACAUAGGGGGCGAGCGUUAUCCGGAAUUAUUGGGCGUAAAGAGUGCGUAGGCGGUCUAUUAAGUCUGGCGUGAAAUACCACAGCUUAACUGUGGAGGGUCGUUGGAAACUGAUGGACUUGAGUACGGUAGAGGUAAGUGGAAUUCCAAGUGGAGCGGUGGAAUGCGUAGAUAUUUGGAGGAACACCAGUGGCGAAGGCGGCUUACUGGGCCGGAACUGACGCUGAGGCACGAAAGCGUGGGGARMAAACAGGAUUAGAUACCCUGGUAGUCCACGCCGUAMMCGUUGAGCACUAAGUGUCGGAUGUAGAUUCGGCGCUGCAGUUAACACAGUAAG